ACCUUGCUGAAACCUAAAACCCCGAGAAGAAAUGCAAAACCCUUGAAACAAAAACGCAGCCACAAACCAAAACCAAAACCAAAACCAAAACCCCAGAGGCAGAGCCAUGUCAUUCGCCGCCGCCAGAGCCGCCAAGUCCGUCCUUCGAUCCACAGCGGCUCGAACCACAGUGGCAUCGAGGCUCGCUGCAGGUCCCGGAGCCAGACCCGCAAGCUCACCAUUUCGCAUCCCCAAACAAAACUCCCUCUCCAACCGCAUUUUCAGGUCGCCAGUGGAGCUGAGUUGCUGUGUGGAAUCGAUGCUUCCCUAUCACACAGCCACUGCUUCUGCAUUGCUUAAUUCAAUGCUCUCUGUCUCUCGCCGCAGCUAUGGUUGGACUCCUGAAGGGCAAGAGAAGACUAGAUGAAGAUCAAGCAUCAAAUAUGGAUUGACUUGGAUUUGUUUUUGUUGUCUACUUUGAAAGUAUUGGUGAAUGUUCUCUUCAGUAGAUUUGAUUGCAAUGAUGAUGUAUGAUGAAUGUCAGAGGGUUCGAGCGGAGUUUUAUGUACAUGCACUCUAAGGCAAGAUGGAUGAUUGUUGUUGGGGUGCAGUACAUUGAUCAUAAUUUCCAUGGAUUUCAAUGGACUUUGUAAGACUUGCUUGAGGCAUUAUUCUCCUAGACCGGAUUUGAAAAUCAAAGCAUUAAAAGUUGUUCUACAUGCACUCAGAAGUAGGUAUCAUAAUGAGAUUAGAUUGUUUUCUAUUUUCCAAAUACUAAAGUACAGUGUUAGAUGAACUCUUUUAUGUGAGUUAUGGGUGAUCCUCAUCUUCCUUGGAAA